AUUGAACGCUGGCGGCAUGCCUUACACAUGCAAGUCGAACGGUAACAGGUCUUCGGAUGCUGACGAGUGGCGAACGGGUGAGUAAUACAUCGGAACGUGCCCGAGAGUGGGGGAUAACGAGGCGAAAGCUUUGCUAAUACCGCAUACGAUCUCAGGAUGAAAGCAGGGGACCGCAAGGCCUUUUGCUCACGGAGCGGCCGAGGGCAGAUUAGGUAGUUGGUGGGAUAAAAGCUUACCAAGCCGACGAUCUGUAGCUGGUCUGAGAGGACGACCAGCCACACCGGGACUGAGACACGGCCCAGACUCCUACGGGAGGCAGCAGUGGGGAAUUUUGGACAAUGGGCGCAAGCCUGAUCCAGCCAUGCCGCGUGCAGGAUGAAGGCCUUCGGGUUGUAAACUGCUUUUGUACGGAACGAAAAGACUCCUUCUAAUAAAGGGGGUCCAUGACGGUACCGUAAGAAUAAGCACCGGCUAACUACGUGCCAGCAGCCGCGGUAACAC
rnacentral:rRNA from 1 species